rnacentral:rRNA from 1 species
GGGUUGUGAGGUUAAGCGACUAAGCGUACACGGUGGAUGCCCUGGCAGUCAGAGGCGAUGAAGGACGUGCUAAUCUGCGAUAAGCGUCGGUAAGGUGAUAUGAACCGUUAUAACCGGCGAUUUCCGAAUGGGGAAACCCAGUGUGAUUCGUCACACUAUCAUUAACUGAAUCCAUAGGUUAAUGAGGCGAACCGGGGGAACUGAAACAUCUAAGUACCCCGAGGAAAAGAAAUCAACCGAGAUUCCCCCAGUAGCGGCGAGCGAACGGGGAGCAGCCCAGAGCCUGAAUCAGUGUGUGUGUUAGUGGAAGCGUCUGGAAAGGCGCGCGAUACAGGGUGACAGCCCCGUACACAAAAAUGCACAUACUGUGAGCUCGAUGAGUAGGGCGGGACACGUGGUAUCCUGUCUGAAUAUGGGGGGACCAUCCUCCAAGGCUAAAUACUCCUGACUGACCGAUAGUGAACCAGUACCGUGAGGGAAAGGCGAAAAGAACCCCGGCGAGGGGAGUGAAAAAGAACCUGAAACCGUGUACGUACAAGCAGUGGGAGCACAGAGCAAUCUGUGUGACUGCGUACCUUUUGUAUAAUGGGUCAGCGACUUAUAUUCUGUAGCAAGGUUAACCGAAUAGGGGAGCCGAAGGGAAACCGAGUCUUAACUGGGCGUUAAGUUGCAGGGUAUAGACCCGAAACCCGGUGAUCUAGCCAUGGGCAGGUUGAAGGUUGGGUAACACUAACUGGAGGACCGAACCGACUAAUGUUGAAAAAUUAGCGGAUGACUUGUGGCUGGGGGUGAAAGGCCAAUCAAACCGGGAGAUAGCUGGUUCUCCCCGAAAGCUAUUUAGGUAGCGCCUCGUGAAUUCAUCUCCGGGGGUAGAGCACUGUUUCGGCAAGGGGGUCAUCCCGACUUACCAACCCGAUGCAAACUGCGAAUACCGGAGAAUGUUAUCACGGGAGACACACGGCGGGUGCUAACGUCCGUCGUGAAGAGGGAAACAACCCAGACCGCCAGCUAAGGUCCCAAAGUCAUGGUUAAGUGGGAAACGAUGUGGGAAGGCCCAGACAGCCAGGAUGUUGGCUUAGAAGCAGCCAUCAUUUAAAGAAAGCGUAAUAGCUCACUGGUCGAGUCGGCCUGCGCGGAAGAUGUAACGGGGCUAAACCAUGCAC